CCUACGGGAGGCAGCAGUGGGGAAUAUUGGACAAUGGGGGAAACCCUGAACCAGCAACGCCGCGUGAAUGAAGAAGGUUUUCGGAUUGUAAACCCCUUUUAUUAGAGAAGAAAAUGACGGUACCUGACUAAUAAGCACCGGCUAACUACGUGCCAGCAGCCGCGGUAAUACGGAGGGUGCAAGCGUUACUCGGAUUCACUGGGCGUAAAGGGAGCGUAGGCGGGAUAGCAAGUCAGUUGUGAAAUGCUGUGGCUCAACCCCAGAACUGCAUUUGAUACUGUGAUGCUGGAGUACAGGAGAGGUAGGCGGAAUUCUUGGUGUAGGGGUGAAAUGCGUAGAGAUCAGGAGGAACAC
rnacentral:rRNA from 1 species